GGCGAUUGGGCCGAGUUUGAUCCUGGCUCAGGACGAACGCUGGCGGCGUGCUUAACACAUGCAAGUCGAACGGUGAUGACGGGAGCUUGCUCUUGUCUGAUCAGUGGCGAACGGGUGAGUAGCACGUGAGUAACCUGCCCCAGACUCUGGGAUAACCCCGGGAAACCGGAGCUAAUACCGGAUAUGACACCAACGGGCAUCCGUAUGGUGUGGAAAGUUUUUCGGUCUGGGAUGGACUCGCGGCCUAUCAGCUUGUUGGUGAGGUAGUGGCUCACCAAGGCGACGACGGGUAGCCGGCCUGAGAGGGCGACCGGCCACACUGGGACUGAGACACGGCCCAGACUCCUACGGGAGGCAGCAGUGGGGAAUAUUGCACAAUGGGCGAAAGCCUGAUGCAGCGACGCCGCGUGCGGGAUGAAGGCCUUCGGGUUGUAAACCGCUUUCAGCAGGGACGAAAUUGACGGUACCUGCAGAAGAAGGCCCGGCCAACUACGUGCCAGCAGCCGCGGU
rnacentral:rRNA from 1 species